GCAUAGGUGGGACUUCCUGGCAGGGAGAGUAAGUAGGAGGAGGGAUUUAGUCUCAGGGAAAGAAAAAGAGAUGCCAAGAAGAUGCCAGGGUUCCAGACAGACAGGCAUGGAGGAAGCAGGAAAGUAGGACUCACAGAAUGAAGGAAAGGUAAAAGGCCCCUAGGCAAAAGUAGAUGAGUAGAGCAGGUUAAAUUAAGUUAAAAGAUCUAGUGGGACAAGCCUAAGCUAAGGCCUAACUUUCAUAUAUAAUAAGAAGUCUCUGUGUCAUUAUUUGGGAACUGGCUGGUGGGACAGAGAAAGACCUCAGCUAUAUUUGGUACCCAAAAUGGGGCCUAAGUUUCCUCAUAGGACCUGAGAAGGUUGAAAAACAAAACAAAACUAAAAACAAUGGACACGGCUUCUUUUAGAGGCAUUGCUGUGCAGCAGAGCAGAGCACUUAAGCAACCGGCAAGCUAAGCAGCAACAGCAAGGGUACCCUGAAUAUGGUGUCACCCUCAGACAACAGUAAGCAGUCUAGAAAAUACAAUAGCCACAUUCCCAAGAGGUAAGACCAACCAUACUGUGGCCAAACAGCUCUGCCCAGUUAUGCCCUUCCAAUCAUGAUGGAUGGACUGAUACCUUUGAGAUCAUGAGCCUCAAUAAAUCCCUCCUCCUUGAAGUCAUUUCUGUCAUGUAUUUGACCACAAUAAUUUCAAGAGUAACUGACAUGAUAUAAAUGUUUAAUCAGACACAGUGUAAUCUUUUACUUUAACCAAAUAAGCUUUUCCUAGGUGUAUUAGUACUUCUCAAAAGCAGUUACUUGUUUUUCCUAUUUUUUGACUACUGAACUUUAAGAUAUCUUUUGAAUAUGAUUUUAGGUUUCUGUAGUCAUUAGAAGACAUUUAAAAAUCUCUCCAAUAUAAGAGUUGCCAGAAGGAGAAGUGACUAAGAAGAAAUGUGAAGUGUAUGAUAAAUGAUUAGAAGUACCAUUAUGUGUGUCUAGGAUAAUAUACAUUGAGACAGAAAGGAUUUAGUCAAUCUUUGAGUCCAAAAGAAAUUUCAUGAUUAUACAGAAUCCUGUGGUAGCCCUUCAGGGAGGAAUAGUGGAAUGGUACCAAUUGUUUACAAUUGAAGACACUGUCACAGAGAUGACCCAGAAAACCCAGGUUUUGGAGGAUGUUUCUUCUUCCCAAGCCAUGUCUCAGGGAAUAGGGAAAAAAUGAGGACAUAUUUUGAAAAUAAAACAGCCAUCCACAUUGAUUCAUUGAUAGCAUUUCAAUAGAACAACCUUCCUUAAUUUGUGUUUAUAAUGAUGCCCUUGCCCUCCCAUGCCUUCAUGGGAAAAGGGACUGGUGCUUUGUGCAUUGAUGUUUCAGAAGCUACAGAUGGCUUUGGGACCAGGUUCCAGGUUUUCUGGAUUCACCAUCAAUAGUGAAGCUGGAGGGCAAAUGGAGAGAGGUUGAUGGUUCAAGUGGGGGAGGCAGAGCGUGAGCUGUUCCAUCAGGAGGGGCAGACAGUGAACACUCCCUGGAAAAAGCAGGAAGCAGACUCAGGACGUGGUAAACUGAUAAAGCACAGUGGGGUUCUCAAAUUAUAGGAGGCGACAGUGGCAUUUGAUAGCUUCAUCUUCGUUACAGGAUGUGAUCUUUCAGACAGUCAUUUCUCCGUUGUAAUUGAAAGGAACGAGCCUCAUUUCUCAGAAAGCAACUGAAAAUCAGCUUCAUUUUGCAAAACUGGCUUCAGCUUCACCUUUGCAUUCCUGACUUAUAUAUGACUGAUUCUGUGUUUUCAGUCAUAUUUUUUUCUUGAGCAUAUUAACCAAUAGUUUAUUAUAGGGAGACUAAAAGGGGGGAAGACAGACAGAGAGAGAGAGAGAGA